CGUGCAACUUUUCUUCCACCUCCAUCACAUCUCUCUCUCACAGUAACUCUCGGCGAGGAGCACACAUGGCCACCAUGGCCACGGCACCGCGCCCGCUCCUCCUAUUAAACCCCCACGCUUCGUCCUAGGGUUCGCCCCUCCUCCUCUCUUCCUCCUCGCGCCGCCGCCAGGUAAGCAGCCAGUUCCACCGCGCCUCAUCCCCCAAGCCCGACGCCAUGGCCGGGAGGAGCCAGGGCUCUCCUCCGGCGUAGCAAGCUCUCCGCCGACUCCUUCUUCCUCCACGCGUAUCGCGACGCCGCCGCGACUCCGUUUCGCGUCCUCCCCGAGCCGGAUCGCCAAGUUCAGCGCCCUGUCUACCUCCCCUGCUUCGUCUUCUUCACGGAGCCGAGCUUCACCACGAUCAGCGCGUCCUCGAGUCCUCUCCGUCGCGUCUCCAGCCGCCUCGUAUUUUCCUACGGGACCUAGAAACAGUUGUUAGCCAAGAUGGGAUCUUUCCGGGAUCUUCUGAUCAAGAUACGCGUGUUCAAGAUGCUCGGAUCUUUUCAAGAUCUUCUGGUUAAGAUGUUGGCGUUCAUCGGCGGCAUUACGAGCCUGUUUCUCAUUGGCAACAGCGUGUCGGAUCCAUCAUCGGUGAUCGAGACACUCCGCAGCCUCAACGCUACAUCCGUAAUAUGCGACGCCAAACAAGUGGCCCAUCACUACAAGAAUCUGGCUUUUGAUGUCACUUUUCUUGCCAUCGCAAUGGCCCUCGCAGCUUGCAUCAUUUAUCUUGUCAAAAUCAUCGUUGAUGCCCGUGCCCAAGAAGAAGAGCAAGAGCAACGCGAGGCCGAUCCCGCCGCUGCCGCGCAGGCUGCCGUUGUUCGCACUCUCGCAGCUAAUGCUUCUGCGGUCGCCUCAAAUGCCGAAGCAAAGGCUGUCCAGGCCGAAGCGGACGCCAAGCGCGUCGUCGCGGAGAUGCGCGCCGCCUAAGACAACGCCCUUGAUGCCAAAAAGAUCACCAGAUCCGAAGCUAAUGAUGCAAUCAGAGUUGCCCAAGCUGCCGAUGAGAACUUGGCCCAAGCCAAGGCCAACCCUGCCGGCGACGAUGUUGCCUCGCAGAAGAAGAUCGAGGACUUGGAGAUGGCUGCCGACGAGGCGGCUAAGGCGGCAACUCAGGCCGAGGAUACAGCUGCAAAGGCCGACAAGGAGCUCAACCUCAUUGACAAGGAUCUCAAGGAAGCAAAGGACGAGGUGAAGCGGAAGGCCGAUGCGACUCGGGCUGCCAAGAAAGACGCCGAGGCUGCAAAGAAGACCGCCGACGCCGCCAAACCCAAGACCGGUAUGGCCCGUUUCCCUUUCUGGAAGAGGUUGACUCUGCGUGUGCUCUUUGUGUUUGCCACCAUAGUAUGCUUGUACGCUUGCGUUGUCGCAAUCUUUUCUUUCACGGAGCUGCUUGACUACAAGACCGAUUGUAUUCGCUUCGAGGGCGAUUCAGGAAGUCGCCGUGUUACCCGUACAGCCUUGUCAAUCUGCAAGUACAUGUUGUUGGUGGCAUUCUGCUGCCUCCAUCUCAUGAUCCUUCUCGGGGGUUGUUACAAGGAUUGAGUAUGGCAGAUAGAUGAUAAUGAUGUAGUGUAUGGGAGAUAGAUGAUAAUGAUGUAGUGUGAUCAAUCCCGUGUUGUGUUGUCCAUUAGGCAUGUGGUGUUUCUGUCAGCAAUUCUAUGGACUGGAUGGUGAGUGUAAGUUGGAGGUUCUACCGUCUCC